GUUAACAAAGUUUCAUUACCUAACAAAGUCAAUAUUUGCCGUUUCUUUGCCAGGUGGUGAUUGUAAAUAUAAUUUUACCCUAAGGCAUAUUUUUGAUGGUUUUCAUGAUGAGAGGAAGUUCUCUUUUAUGUUAGAGGAAAUGUUGGGCGCAAACCUUUUUACCAUACUCUUUAUGAGCGCCUCUGUUCAACACGUGGAUUUGUUGGAUGCGGUUGCAUAAUCAUGUCGAUAGUUUCUGUUGGUUUGACAUGAAAUUGCAGUUCCUUAUUUAUUGUCCAAACAACAAUGAUUUGUACCUGUUUGAGUUUUUUUAUGAUCAUGUACUGUAUAUUUUUGUUUUCUUGUAGUAUUUGCAUCAUCGAAAAUUGCUUUUGGAGGCCUCCUUUUGUGAAAUUCGUGACAAUUUAUAUUUUUACAUUUUUUUAAAAAUACAGAUAUACAUGGAGGCGUAAUGUACAGGUAUAUAAAUUUCCAAGACAAAAUAAGUUGAAAUGAGGGCUCUGCAAAAAAAACAAAUUUGAUGCUAUUUAACACAUGAUACUAUUCAUUUUCAAAGUCCAAAAUUUUGUCUUUUUUGUACUGGUCGCAUUUCAAGGUAUUUCGCCCUGAAUUUUUACACACAUGUACAUUUCACCCUUGUAUAGUUGCUUAAUUAUUUUCAGUUUUUUUUGAACUCGGAAAGUUUGAAUUUUGAAUUUUUCAAAAAUAAAAGGGUCCAUGAAGCUCGGUCGCCGAAACGCCAUACUCUUUGCAUCAUAGAAAAUUAUACUAAUUUAGUCUCAAACAGACGUAUGCAAACUCUACUUUUUUUAGGGAUGUAUUACUAUACGCAAUCAUAGCUGAUUAGUAGGGAGUUUGUUAAGCCCAAUAGGCUCACGCACAUGUACAUAGCCUCCGCACAUCUAUUCUCUCGCCCUCACCCCCUAAAAAAUUAUUCGCUCGUACUCACACCUUCACACACUCACACGCGGCUCUUGCCUGAUCCCCUUUUCAUUUCCUUCUAUCUGCCCGCUCCAAAUCUGCUUCUGCCCGAUGAGUUCUGGCUGUUGACUCUGCUAAUCGGCGCCGCGGAUUUAAUUCCCCGUCUUCGAUUCCUUGCUAACCUUGUUCGUCCCACCUGCACGCACCUCUGCAGCUCGGCUCACUGGUGCCGCCACGGGUGGCACUUGAUUUGGCUCCCUGAACGCUUCCUCAAUAUCUCAGGCGGUCAACGGGGCGGGAGUGGUCGAUUAGAAGCUGGGCAUUGGAGGAGGCCCGACAGGUCAUCUUCAUGCUCGAUAGUGGCAGCCUGACUUCGGCGGCUCAUUCUUCCACAUGUGGUUCCCCCUUCUCCCUUUUCCUGCCUCCCUUGUUUAUUUAUUUCCCGUUUCUUCCUUUCUCUGCAUGUGUAUGGUUGAACCAAUAUAAUGAAACCCAGGCACAACUGCACAACUUGUUAGUUAAAGAUGUAAAUUUGUUUAUGUCGUCCACUUUUUUUCGUGCUUGGGUGGGCAUCGGUGGUGUACCCCCCUGCUCCCAUUCAUAUUGAACAAAUUUAAUAAGUAUUUAGUUAUUUGAGAUUAGCUAUAGCUGUAGUUUCAUCGCUAAAAAAGCUAUAGUUCUACUAUUUCCCAAAGAUAGAAUUAAGUUUAAUAAAUGAAUAUGAAAUAGGUGCCAUUGCAUUAUAUACGUCAACUAUAACGAUGCGUGGAUGUUGUCACUAUUGGCUUGUUCAAAAGAAUAAGCUUCAGAUAUUAGAUAUAUAGUGUCCACAAUUGGUACUAUUGAGCUAUUUCCAUCAAAUGUUGAUGCAUGUUUCCAGUACUUCUGGCAGUAGUAGUUCAUAUUCAUUUUGCGGCUUCCGCCAUAUUAGCAUAGAAAAGCCAUUUUUAUUUUGAAUAUAGUUUGCACUGUACUAAUUUUCCAUCCACUUAUGGUUACCUAAAAAGGCUAGUAGCAAGUGUAAGUGUGUUUUUAGUUCCUACCUUUAGAAUAUUUUGGUGUAGCCUAUGUUGUUGACCACAUCAUCCUUGUUGUUGGUUCAUUUGUGCUAUAGAAAAUAAAAUAAUAGAUGUGAUCAAGUCAGUAGGUUAUCACUUGCGAUUGGUUUUCCAAACUAUUCCCUUCCUCUUAUGUCUCUCAUGAAGUCCUUUAGCUUUAUGUAGAAAUUCGGUCAACAAUAUCAGGUCUUUGUGAUGUUGCUUGGCAUACUUCCUGUAGCACAGAUUCAAUCUCCGGCCAAGCCGCGUUACACGUGAAUGUCGCAAAUAAAUCUGUGUAUCCAGCCCACCCAUAUAUUACAUAAGAUUUUGGUAGUUUAAUGACUUGUGUCUUGGGCUAUCUGUGGAAGUUGGAUGGCACAUGGUAGUAGUAUUGUCCUUCGUACAUUGUCAGCCCUUGUAUCUCCUCUUUCUUUUGUGUCUUGCAGGCCAGCAUAUAAUUCCGUUCUUAGGUUUCCUUGAUGUAUUUUGAUCCAGUCUAGUAUGUACUGCAAAAUUCAAGCAAAGGCACUGUAAUUUAAGCUUUUUGCACACCAUCAAGUGUUUCAAUUGGUUAGUACGUUGUUAUAUAUGAUUCUUAUAGCAUUCCAAAAUUGUUGCAUGCUUUCUCUUGCCUUUUGCACCUUUUUUUCAUAUCUAAUGUAUAUUUCCUUUGUGCCCAUCUUCUCCGUAAGAGCAUAUUAAUGGACACUGCAUGGCCAUGAAUUUUGAAUGGUUCUAUGGUAUUCUUCUUGGCCACGUAUCUUUGUACUAAACAAUGAUAUCCUAUCCUUUUCUAUUCUCUGUUGUAUCAUUGACAAUCUAGGCUGCAACUUCAGUUGCAGAUGUCAUGUUGUGUCGUCUUAAUUUCAAGUUGUGAUAGUCGCCUUCUUUGAAUUUAUCCUUGCCAUUCUGAGUUUUUUUGCUAGUCUAUUAUCUCUAUCCAACAUAGUUUUAAGCCCCUCAACAAUGUGAGGAUCUGUUGACUCCCUUUUAUCUUCUAAUUUGUAUGCAUUAAUCCUAUUUUGUCCUGUUCAAUUUUCCAAAUUCAGCAUCAGUUUACAGAUUUGUAUUGUCUUAAUAGAACAUACAUAUGUGGUGCUUUUUUCUAUGUCCUCGGUUUUUAUGUUUUGCACUUUGUGUUACAUUUAGUCAUGUACACAUGCAUAAUAGAAAUACCAGGUUUAUGGAUGCCCAAACCGUAUAUCUUGAUUUAAUUUUCUUGUUACUUACGUCGUGGUCUUACCAGCCUGACUGAUUAUUGAUUUUUUUGUGCCACGGGUUCUCCAUUGCUCUUUUUUAUUCCUGUUCCUGUAUAGUCUUACAUGUAGCUAUCUCUAUUGAAUUGCUCUGCACAAACAUAAAUACCAUUUAGUAGAAAAAUGAGAUUUUUUGCAGCAUGAGCAAUUUAUUACUUGUAAUAGUGGUCAAUGUACAUGAUUAACAUCUGUACAAGAUAUGGUUCCCUGUGGAAAUUCAACAAUGUUGAUUUUGCCUCUGUCUUGGCUAAGCUAAAGUGCACGGAAAUGUGUUCUCAUGUUUUUGAAAAAGAAAUAAUUGAUAUCUACAGCCAGGACCAAAUGCAACAUGUUUUUUUAAUAUUUAUUUAAUAGAGAACCUCAAAUUAGUUGUAGAUCAUAAUGGAAAUGCAUAGGUGGCCUUGCACCAUAACCAUUUGUGUAUGAUAAACUCUGUUAGAUCAAAUAUUUGUACAUCAAAUUGAUUGAUUUAAUGAAGAAUUUUUUGUAAGCUUGGAAAGAAUUGAACACAUAGAUAACACAAUUGAUGUGCAAAGCAGAAGCAAGCUAUAAUGCUGGUUCCAGUAUACCUUACUACAUUUGUGCAUCAUGUAACGGGCAUUUAGCAGUUGAAGUAAAUAUAGUGGAUGAUAAUACACAUAAGGAAAUAACUUUGUAAAUAUUUGCUCACCGCACGUAGUUCAUAGGUUGUUCUUUCGGCAUAGUUGUCGGUCUGGCACAUCUCCAUGCAUGUAUGAUCAAAAGUUGUCUCUUUUUCUUGUCUUGAAGUUUCGUUCUCCUCUCAUAUCUUGUCGUUGUUUAUUGACUGGACUCACAUCAAUCAGAUGACAAUCUGGAAUUAUUUUCCCCACCCAAGCUUAAAUCACAAACCCGCAUGUGCCUAACUUGAAUUUUUGCAUUGCAUAUUUUAGUUGUUAACACUCAUGUGAUAUCUCCUAUUAAAGAUGGUUAGUAAUGGAUCAGCUUGUUGGAUUGCACAUUUGAUGAUUUUAACCAUCUUGGAAGGUUUCUCUCAUUUUUGCUAUGUGGCACACCUUUUGAUUUAUGUUUCUUCCUGCGCAAUGAGAAUGCAUACAUCAUUAAAGAAGAUGAUAUUGUAAAAAUGUUAUCGAGUAUUGCUCAAGGUUAAGAAGAUUUAUGAUUUUGAUUAUUUUCUAGCUUACAGUUUUAUUUCUUUGUUGUCAAAGUAAAAGAGAUCAACUUCCAAGAACAGUGGAUGUUAAGUUCCAAUCUUCAUGUGAAAACACAAAUAUUGUGAGUAUCUUUUACCCCUAGUAUUGUAGUUACAUGCAAUUCCAUAAAUGCAUAUAUUUAGCAAAGAAUAAGAUUGUAAUUGAGGAUUGCAAGUUCAUGUACAAUUAGGACUGAACAAUUGGAAGUGGAACUGACGGCCUGAUCCAAACUUAAAAGCUAUUUGAUUGUGUUGUCAUACCAUGAAUUGAAGACAUUGGUUGUACUGCCAAUUCUGUUGUUGUUGCUGACAAAAGAUUGAACUCUAAGAAUAAGAUGAUUGCAAUGAGGAUAUGAAGUUGAUGUACAAUAACCAUUGAGAAGUUGCAAGGGGAGCUUAGGACAUGAUUUAAAACUAAUUGAUUGUGUUUUCAUACCUUCAGUUGAAGACAUGGUACUUAUUGGAGAUGGUCUGCUCGCCCAAUGGAGCCGAUGGCGCAAUCAAGGAGAUUGGGGCGCUCGCUCGUGAGAAGUUUUUAGGGAAAGCCAUUUGUGGCUGUGUAUAUUAAUUUGGAAUAAUAUCUACAUAAUCAAUUCAACCUAUCAUGAUUAUUGUUUAUGGGAUUGUAAGAUUGAUUGUGAGAUUUGUGUGUUAGAAUGUGCGACGAAUGGUAAGAUUGACCGUCAUAUGAGUGCAUAGGACAUGGGAAUGAAAA